rfam:Aedes albopictus isolate Foshan contig302486, whole genome shotgun sequence.
CAAACGGUCCUUUUAAGGACCAUCGAAA